rnacentral:rRNA from 1 species
AAAUUUAUGUUUUUUUUGGGUUGGGAAUUUUAGAGUUUGAAUUCUGGCUCAGGACGAACGCUGGCGGCGUGCCUAAUACAUGCAAGUCGAGCGGACAGAAGGGAGCUUGCUCCCGGAUGUUAGCGGCGGACGGGUGAGUAACACGUGGGUAACCUGCCUGUAAGACUGGGAUAACUCCGGGAAACCGGAGCUAAUACCGGAUAGUUCCUUGAACCGCAUGGUUCAAGGAUGAAAGACGGUUUCGGCUGUCACUUACAGAUGGACCCGCGGCGCAUUAGCUAGUUGGUGGGGUAAUGGCUCACCAAGGCGACGAUGCGUAGCCGACCUGAGAGGGUGAUCGGCCACACUGGGACUGAGACACGGCCCAGACUCCUACGGGAGGCAGCAGUAGGGAAUCUUCCGCAAUGGACGAAAGUCUGACGGAGCAACGCCGCGUGAGUGAUGAAGGUUUUCGGAUCGUAAAGCUCUGUUGUUAGGGAAGAACAAGUGCGAGAGUAACUGCUCGCACCUUGACGGUACCUAACCAGAAAGCCACGGCUAACUACGUGCCAGCAGCCGCGGUAAUACGUAGGUGGCAAGCGUUGUCCGGAAUUAUUGGGCGUAAAGGGCUCGCAGGCGGUUUCUUAAGUCUGAUGUGAAAGCCCCCGGCUCAACCGGGGAGGGUCAUUGGAAACUGGGAAACUUGAGUGCAGAAGAGGAGAGUGGAAUUCCACGUGUAGCGGUGAAAUGCGUAGAGAUGUGGAGGAACACCAGUGGCGAAGGCGACUCUCUGGUCUGUAACUGACGCUGAGGAGCGAAAGCGUGGGGAGCGAACAGGAUUAGAUACCCUGGUAGUCCACCGAUGAGUGCUAAGUGUUAGGGGGUUUCCGCCCCUUAGUGCUGCAGCUAACGCAUUAAGCACUCCGCCUGGGUCCUUGCACGGUCGCAAGACUGAAACUCAAAGGAAUUGACGGGGGCCCGCACAAGCGGUGGAGCAUGUGGUUUAAUUCGAAGCAACGCGAAGAACCUUACCAGGUCUUGACAUCCUCUGACAACCCUAGAGAUAGGGCUUUCCCUUCGGGGACAGAGUGACAGGUGGUGCAUGGUUGUCGUCAGCUCGUGUCGUGAGAUGUUGGGUUAAGUCCCGCAACGAGCGCAACCCUUGAUCUUAGUUGCCAGCAUUCAGUUGGGCACUCUAAGGUGACUGCCGGUGACAAACCGGAGGAAGGUGGGGAUGACGUCAAAUCAUCAUGCCCCUUAUGACCUGGGCUACACACGUGCUACAAUGGACAGAACAAAGGGCUGCAAGACCGCAAGGUUUAGCCAAUCCCAUAAAUCUGUUCUCAGUUCGGAUCGCAGUCUGCAACUCGACUGCGUGAAGCUGGAAUCGCUAGUAAUCGCGGAUCAGCAUGCCGCGGUGAAUACGUUCCCGGGCCUUGUACACACCGCCCGUCACACCACGAGAGUUUGCAACACCCGAAGUCGGUGAGGUAACCUUUAUGGAGCCAGCCGCCGAAGGUGGGGCAGAUGAUUGGGGUGAAUCUAAAAGGGGGGAACCCAAAGCGGGAAAAAAAAACCCCAAUCUCCCCCCAAAAAA